UACAGGUGUUGAAAGCUUCGAGAAGUUC
rnacentral:sRNA from 1 species